AACUCGGUAGUGAAGUCGCAUCACGUCCGCCUCAUGGAAAAUGCGACCAGAUAUGUAAGCGGAAGUCGCCCGUUCGACCCAGGUCCGAGUUA